UACAUGUGCAGUAGCUCCGCCCCCGUAGCCUUCCCUUCAUUGCCAAGAAAAGUUGUCCUUGGGGGCGCUUUAGUUGUUUGACGGGUGCACGAUGCGCGCGGUUUGUGUGUGUGUGUGCCAUGCUGUGUUCUGCAAUGCUUCGUUACCACGUUUAUCGAUUAUGCACGUUGGUUACUUGAUUCAAUGUCAAGUGUACCUUCCAAGACGAUCUAGGUCCUAGUCUCGUGACUGAAGGCGAGUGCGGACGUACAGCAGCCUUUUGACAAGACUGUCGCCGAGUGUACGGUACAUUGUGGACUGUAAAGCUGAAGAGUGCACAGUGGAUGCCUGAUUUUGGAACCGAGUGUGAUCGUCUGGGCGGUGUGUUCACUCUGCGGGGAUGAUGGCCAGAGGAAGGAUGAUAGACAGACGACAGCUUGCAGACGAAGAUGGGAGCGUUCUACCUGUGAGCCUGGUCGAGCUUAUAUUUUAUGGAUACACAUGCAUGGAUACACAUACAUGGAUUCCCUACAAGGACCCUGCGCAUCAAAAGCAAUCUGUCAUCAAUGUUAAGUAGACAGAUUAAACGAAACUGAAGAUAUGACAGGUGUACACCAUAUUUUUCUUUCAUUUAACCUCUGCAUGU